GAUGAACGCUGGCGGCGUGCUUAACACAUGCAAGUCGAACGGGAAACCUUUUAAAGAAGCUUCGGCAGAUUUAGCUGGUUUCUAGUGGCGGACGGGUGAGUAACGCGUGGGUAACCUGCCUUGUACAGGGGGAUAACAGUCAGAAAUGACUGCUAAUACCGCAUAAGCGCACAGGACCGCAUGGCCCAGUGUGAAAAACUCCGGUGGUAUAAGAUGGACCCGCGUUGGAUUAGCUAGUUGGUGGGGUAACGGCCUACCAAGGCGACGAUCCAUAGCCGGCCUGAGAGGGUGAACGGCCACAUUGGGACUGAGACACGGCCCAGACUCCUACGGGAGGCAGCAGUGGGGAAUAUUGCACAAUGGGGGAAACCCUGAUGCAGCGACGCCGCGUGAAGGAAGAAGUAUCUCGGUAUGUAAACUUCUAUCAGCAGGGAAGAGAUUGACGGUACCUGACUAAGA
rnacentral:rRNA from 1 species